GUGCCAGCAGCCGCGGUAAUACCAGCACCCCGAGUGGUCGGGAUGAUUAUUGGGCCUAAAGCAUCCGUAGCCGGUGUAACAAGUCCUCCGUUAAAUCCACCUGCUUAACAGGUGGGCUGCGGAGGAUACUGUUACACUAGGAGGCGGGAGAGGCGAGGGGUAUUCCACGGGUAGGGGUAAAAUCCUCUGAUCCGUGGAGGACCACCAGUGGCGAAGGCGCCUCGCCAGAACGCGCUCGACGGUGAGGGAUGAAAGCUGGGGGAGCAAACCGGAUUAGAUACCCGGGUAGUCCCAGCCGUAAACGAUGUAGGCUCGGUGAUGGACUGGCUCCGAGCCAGUCCAGUGCCGCAGGGAAGCCGUUAAGCCUACCGCCUGGGGAGUACGGCCGCAAGGCUGAAACUCAAAUGAAUUGACGGGG
rnacentral:rRNA from 1 species